rnacentral:rRNA from 1 species
GCUAGCUACAGGCUUAACACAUGCAAGUCGAGGGGCAGCAUUUCAGUUUGCUUGCAAACUGGAGAUGGCGACCGGCGCACGGGUGAGUAACACGUAUCCAACCUGCCGAUAACUCGGGGAUAGCCUUUCGAAAGAAAGAUUAAUACCCGAUGGUAUAAUCAGACCGCAUGGUCUUGUUAUUAAAGAAUUUCGGUUAUCGAUGGGGAUGCGUUCCAUUAGGCAGUUGGUGAGGUAACGGCUCACCAAACCUUCGAUGGAUAGGGGUUCUGAGAGGAAGGCCCCCCACAUUGGAACUGAGACACGGUCCAAACUCCUACGGGAGGCAGCAGUGAGGAAUAUUGGUCAAUGGGCGCAGGCCUGAACCAGCCAAGUAGCGUGAAGGAUGACUGCCCUAUGGGUUGUAAACUUCUUUUAUAUGGGAAUAAAGUUUUCCACGUGUGGAAUUUUGUAUGUACCAUAUGAAUAAGGAUCGGCUAACUCCGUGCCAGCAGCCGCGGUAAUACGGAGGAUCCGAGCGUUAUCCGGAUUUAUUGGGUUUAAAGGGAGCGUAGGUGGACAGUUAAGUCAGUUGUGAAAGUUUGCGGCUCAACCGUAAAAUUGCAGUUGAUACUGGCUGUCUUGAGUACAGUAGAGGUGGGCGGAAUUCGUGGUGUAGCGGUGAAAUGCUUAGAUAUCACGAAGAACUCCGAUUGCGAAGGCAGCUCACUGGACUGCAACUGACACUGAUGCUCGAAAGUGUGGGUAUCAAACAGGAUUAGAUACCCUGGUAGUCCACACAGUAAACGAUGAAUACUCGCUGUUUGCGAUAUACAGUAAGCGGCCAAGCGAAAGCAUUAAGUAUUCCACCUGGGGAGUACGCCGGCAACGGUGAAACUCAAAGGAAUUGACGGGGGCCCGCACAAGCGGAGGAACAUGUGGUUUAAUUCGAUGAUACGCGAGGAACCUUACCCGGGCUUAAAUUGCAUUUGAAUAUAUUGGAAACAGUAUAGCCGUAAGGCAAAUGUGAAGGUGCUGCAUGGUUGUCGUCAGCUCGUGCCGUGAGGUGUCGGCUUAAGUGCCAUAACGAGCGCAACCCUUAUCUUUAGUUACUAACAGGUCAUGCUGAGGACUCUAGAGAGACUGCCGUCGUAAGAUGUGAGGAAGGUGGGGAUGACGUCAAAUCAGCACGGCCCUUACGUCCGGGGCUACACACGUGUUACAAUGGGGGGUACAGAAGGCAGCUACCUGGUGACAGGAUGCUAAUCCCAAAAGCCUCUCUCAGUUCGGAUCGAAGUCUGCAACCCGACUUCGUGAAGCUGGAUUCGCUAGUAAUCGCGCAUCAGCCAUGGCGCGGUGAAUACGUUCCCGGGCCUUGUACACACCGCCCGUCAAGCCAUGAAAGCCGGGGGUACCUGAAGUACGUAACCGCAAGGAGCGUCCUAGGGUAAAACUGGU